CCCUAGUAACUGCGAGUGAAGCGGGAAAAGCUCAAAUUUAAAAUCUGGCGGUCUUUGGCUGUCCGAGUUGUAAUCUAGAGAAGUGUUAUCCGCGCUGGACCGUGUACAAGUCUCCUGGAAUGGAGCGUCAUAGAGGGUGAGAAUCCCGUCUUUGACACGGACUGCCAGGGCUUUGUGAUGCGCUCUCAAAGAGUCGAGUUGUUUGGGAAUGCAGCUCAAAAUGGGUGGUAAAUUCCAUCUAAAGCUAAAUAUUGGCGAGAGACCGAUAGCGAACAAGUACCGUGAGGGAAAGAUGAAAAGAACUUUGGAAAGAGAGUUAAACAGUACGUGAAAUUGCUGAAAGGGAAACGCUUGAAGUCAGUCGCGUUGGCCAGGGAUCAACCUUGCUUUUGCUGGSCGUACUUCCUGGUUAAUGGGUCAGCAUCAAUUUUGACCGUUGGAUAAAGGUUAGGGGAAUGUGGCAUCUUCGGAUGUGUWAUAGCCCUUGGUCGCAUACAACGGCUGGGAUUGAGGAACUCAGCACGCCGCAAGGCCGGGUAUUUAUACCACGUUCGUGCUUAGGAUGCUGGCAUAAUGGCUUUAAUCGACCCGUCUUGAAACACGGACCAAGGAGUCUAACAUGCCUGCGAGUGUUUGGGUGGAAAACCCGAGCGCGUAAUGAAAGUGAAAGUUGAGAUYCCUGUCGUGGGGAGCAUCGACGCCCGGACCAGACCUUUUGUGACGGCUCCGCGGUAGAGCAUGUAUGUUGGGACCC
rnacentral:rRNA from 1 species